CAGUAGCCGCGGUAAUACGGAGGGGGCUAGCGUUGUUUGGAAUUACUGGGCGUAAAGCGCACGUAGGCGGCUAUGUAAGUUAGAGGUGAAAGCCUGGAGCUCAACUCCAGAAUUGCCUUUAAGACUGCCGAGCUAGCAGGUGAGAGAGGUAAGUGGAAUUCCGAGUGUAGAGGUGAAAUUCGUAGAUAUUCGGAAGAACACCAGUGGCGAAGGCGGCUUACUGGCUCAUACUGGACGCUGAGGUGCGAAAGCGUGGGGAGCAAACAGGAUUAGAUACCCCGGUAGUCCCUGUCUCUUAUAC
rnacentral:rRNA from 1 species